rnacentral:rRNA from 1 species
CGGCGACGGGUGAGUAACGCGUGGGUAACCUGCCUCAUACAGGGGGAUAACAGUUAGAAAUGACUGCUAAUACCGCAUAAGACCACAGGGCCGCAUGGUCCGGUGGUAAAAACUCCGGUGGUAUGAGAUGGACCCGCGUCUGAUUAGCUGGUUGGUGGGGUAACGGCCUACCAAGGCGACGAUCAGUAGCCGACCUGAGAGGGUGACCGGCCACAUUGGGACUGAGACACGGCUCAAACUCCUACGGAAGGCAGCAG